CUAGAAGUGGAAAUGUUAACUAGCGACAUAAGAUCAGAGUACAGCUGUGCCUAAAUGUACCAGGCUUCUGGCCCAGUGAGCAAAGUCUGUGAAAGAUUAAAAAGAGAGAGAGAGAGAGAGAGAGAACGAACUAUAUUGCUUUUCCUAAAUUCAAAGAGUAAACUUUUGCCACAUAAAUUCAGAUUUUCUGGAAUGAGACAUGAGAAAUGAAGAAAGCAAACUUGGAUGAUUUUAAGGUAAAUAUUUCCCAGGUAAUUGUGUUGAGAGGUGUCUGUUUCUCCUUCUUCUGGCAGAGAGACAAGCAGCCUGUAACAUCUUUCCAGAGAAAUACCUCGGAUUUGUUUCAGUGACCUUACAGUCUGGGUAUGAUGGCACCGGCACACACAAGAGUUUAUUGGUUAAUAAUGAAUGAAUCACAUUUUAUUUGUAUGUUUUAGGACAAUUUAUAAGCUCUUGUGGUUGAUUCAGGCUGUAAGACACCACCUAACAAAAUAUGGUUUCAGUAUCUGCAUGGGCUGCUCUUCCUUCUAGGUGGAAGCAGGGUUCCAAAAAGCAGGCGAGGUAUGACUGCCGGCCAAACUCAUAACCCCAAUUACCCAGCACUUCGACCAAGGCCUCCAAGGAUCAGGCAUCGCUUCUGGUCGCUUUGGUAUGCUUGGAUAGAAGACAAAUCAAUUUCAACAGUCUGUGAUUGACAUUAUUAUUAUGAUGAUGAUGAUGAUGAUGAUGAUGAUGAUGAUGAACCAUAACAUCCUGAGACAUUUAUCAGGCAUAUAAUGUUUCGAGUAUUUUUCUCUUUAUAUUCUUUAACAAAGAUACUAUUAUUUCACCCAUUUUAUAUUUGAGGUUUAGGCCGUUUUUUUUUUGUUUGUUUCAUUUUGUUUUUUAAUUUGCCCAGAAUUAGACAUCUGGUAUAACAGAGCUGGGGCCUUCAGUAGAGACUCUGGAAUACCUUUGUUAAAAACGUGAAAUACUCCCUCUAUAUAUGAUGUGUCAAAGUGCAUUCUGCUGUCAUGUAUAACUAGUUAGAACAAAUAAAAAAAAAUCUGUGAAACUAUACUUUAGUCGUUCUUAAUUGAAUUAAGCAGGAAAGAUUUACCAAGCUAAAUAAUCAGCAAAUGGUUCCAAACUGUAUGCAAUCAAAUGCUGAAUAGUGAAAAGCAGAUUCUGAAGACCUAGAGAUGGUCAGCAGAAAGGAAACCCAGUGGGAAAGGCCCAGGGAAGGCUUGCAGGAGAAGAUGCAGUGUGAGGCAGUCUUUGAAGUGACCUUCACUGUGCAGAGAGAGCAACGAAAGCAAAGACAGCAGGCUGGAAGAGAUUUGGAGGUAUGGGGGCCAAUGAAGGGGCCAGCCUGAGCAGAAAAGAAAUAGUUGUCCCCUUUCAGGUUUAUUCCUCCAGGUUUCAAGUUCACAAGGAACUCAAAAAGACAUACAGAUCAACCCAGGUACUAUGCAAUGGCACACCCGACAGGCAAUGGGGCUGGAAGCUGCCCUUGAACUACCAUGAAGAAAGCAUGCUCUGUAAUCCUGUAAUCAACAUAACACAGACUGAGUACCCACCACGUGUGCUACUAAUGCUAAAUGUCGGGAAUAGAAGGGAGAAGCAGAUGCAAUUCUGGUCCCCAGGGCACUUAGAACUGCAUAAGCACAUAAGUGUUCAUGGGACCAGUGAGUCUGGGGACGAGUAUGACAAUAAGGACAAACUUAAGUAUAAAGGAACAAAGGAAGGAGUAUUCCAUCUCUCUCGAGGCAGAAAGUCUUUUCAAUAGUAACACUUGAUGUGGGCCUUGCAGGAGGAGCAAAUCAUGAAGCUGGAGAAAGGAAUGGAGUUGCAGACAGAAGAGGUGGCAGGAGAAAUUGCCUGUAAGGAAACCCACAUGUGCUUGUAAGGAAAGCAGCCCAGCAGAGCUGGAUGGAGAAAACACCCAAGGUGCCUGAGGUGAGGUGGCAGAGCCAGCUGGAGUAGUGUCAGGAGACACUUGGGGUGAGGAAUAAGACAAGAAGGAAUUUGAACACAGUGGGGAGCCACAGAAGAACUUGAUCAUAACAAUGAGAUUAUUUGACCUCUGAUAUAAGAUGAAAAUCUGGCAAUGGUAAAGGAUGUAUGCCUAAGGGGUGAACUAAAAGGCUCCUUUGAUAUUCAAAGAUGAAGAUGAUAUCAUCAAGGGAGCCUGAAUUCAAGUGAUGGUAAUGGACAGGAAAAGGAUUCCCAAGGCAUGAAAGAUGAUCAGGCACACUUAGUAUCUAAAAGAUAAUGAUGACUUCCGAUUUUAGUGACUUUGGGAUAAUGGUGUCACGAAACAGGACAGGGACAAGACCAAAAGCAAUCAGGAAUAAGUGCUACUUAGACUAGAAAAAUACUCCUAAUGCUGAACACAUGCUGGUACAGUCUCAAACAAAACUGGGUGAUGCUAUUUUCUUUAAUGACUGUGUAGUCUGCCGUGGCAGGUGGCCCAGAGGAGUGAUAACAGGGACAGAGGACCCCCCCUCCCCAGGUCACUGGUUCAAAGUCAUAGUUCUCAAGUGUCUGAAACUUGUUCUCCUAUCUGACAGCUGUUCAAUGGCUCAUGUGAGAGGAAUUAGAGGUCUUAGUUGAGGUCCUAGCAAAACAGGUGCUCCUCUUUAUAACUGACACCUUUGUUGAUGGAGGAGCGAUUUUUUUUUCAAGAAAUAAGGCAGUUCUAGUCCUUAGGUUGCCUGUUGAGGCAUUUUUGGACUAACCAGAGUCAUUUUUUUUUCCCAAGAGCAUUCAACCGUGGCACAGCUGAUUUGUUUGAAAUGUUUAAGAUUUUUAAAAAUCAAGAAUAGGCGUUGACUGAGAGUGCUAAAGCAACCAUUUAAUAGAGCUUUUCUGCUUCCAUCUGUCCUUUACUCUUUUGAGGUCACUUCCCUAAAGAGAUUUGUCACAUAACAGGUCUCUAUUCCUUUCUCUAUUCCUUUUCAUUUCCUUGUCAACAUCUGGAUCUAAAGAAAGCAUUCAGCCUGAAAUAGUGGAUCUCCCUCCCUUUGGAAAAUAACACUAUAUGUUUUUGACACUAUAGGUUUUUCAAAUAUAUAUAAUACAUAUAUAUAGUACAUAUAUAUGUAUACAUAUAUUUAAU
rnacentral:lncRNA from 1 species